GUUGGUGGAAAAAUGGACCACCCCACAAAUGUAAUUAUAGCACCCAAAUCCAUCAGCAAGCUCGAGCUCAUCCCAAGUGAUGGAGCUCUUCCGCUCUCGAGCUCAUCCUAAGUGAUGGAGCUCUUCCGCUCUCGAGCUCGUCCAAGUGAUCGAGCUCAUAGGCCGAGCACAGCAGGCCGAGCACAGCAGGCCGAGCACAGAGAGCCGAGGCCAGAGAGCCGAGGCCAGAAGGCCGAGACCAGAGAGCGCCGACCAGGAAGGCGCUCGACUAGAAGGCGCCGACCAGAGUGCGCGCCAA
rnacentral:lncRNA from 1 species